GAUGAACGCUGGCGGCGUGCCUAAUACAUGCAAGUCGAGCGAACAGACGAGGAGCUUGCUCCUCUGACGUUAGCGGCGGACGGGUGAGUAACACGUGGAUAAUCUACCUAUAAGACUGGGAUAACUUCGGGAAACCGGAGCUAAUACCGGAUAAUAUAUUGAACCGCAUGGUUCAAUAGUGAAAGACGGUUUUGCUGUCACUUAUAGAUGGAUCCGCGCCGCAUUAGCUAGUUGGUAAGGUAACGGCUUACCAAGGCAACGAUGCGUAGCCGACCUGAGAGGGUGAUCGGCCACACUGGAACUGAGACACGGUCCAGACUCCUACGGGAGGCAGCAGUAGGGAAUCUUCCGCAAUGGGCGAAAGCCUGACGGAGCAACGCCGCGUGAGUGAUGAAGGUCUUCGGAUCGUAAAACUCUGUUAUUAGGGAAGAACAAAUGUGUAAGUAACUAUGCACGUCUUGACGGUACCUAAUCAGAAAGCCCCGGCUAACUACGUG
rnacentral:rRNA from 1 species